UACGUAGGGGGCUAGCGUUGUCCGGAAUCAUUGGGCGUAAAGCGCGUGUAGGCGGUCCGGUAAGUCCGCUGUGAAAGUCGAAGGCUCAACCCUCGAAUGCCGGUGGAUACUGUCGGGCUUGAGUACGGGAGAGGCGAGUGGAAUUCCUGGUGUAGCGGUGAAAUGCGCAGAUAUCAGGAGGAACACCGAUUGCGAAGGCAGCUCGCUGGAACGUUACUGACGCUGAGACGCGAAAGCGUGGGGAGCAAACAGG
rnacentral:rRNA from 1 species